GAUGAACGCUGGCGGCGUGCCUAACACAUGCAAGUCGAACGGACUUACAUUGAAGCCUAGCGAUAUGUAAGUUAGUGGCGGACGGGUGAGUAACGCGUGGGUAACCUGCCUUGUACUGGGGGACAACAGUUGGAAACGACUGCUAAUACCGCAUAAGCGCACAGCUUCGCAUGAAGCAGUGUGAAAAACUCCGGUGGUACAAGAUGGACCCGCGUCUGAUUAGCUGGUUGGUGAGGUAACGGCCCACCAAGGCGACGAUCAGUAGCCGGCCGGAGAGGGUGAACGGCCACAUUGGGACUGAUACACGGCCCAAACUCCUACGGGAGGCAGCAGUGGGGAAUAUUGCACAAUGGGGGAAACCCUUAUGCAGCAACGCCGCGUGAGUGAAGAAGUAUUUCGGUAUGUAAAGCUCUAUCAGCAGGAAAGAAAAUGACGGUACCUGACUAAGAAGCCCCGGCUAACUACGUGCCAGCAGCCGCCGUAA
rnacentral:rRNA from 1 species